UGGGGAAUCUUGGACAAUGGGGGCAACCCUGAUCCAGCGACGCCGCGUGGGUGAUGAAGGCCUUCGGGUUGUAAAGCCCUUUUGUCGGGGACGAUGAUGACGGUACCCGGCGAAUAAGCACCGGCUAACUCCGUGCCAGCAGCCGCGGUAAUACGGAGGGUGCUAGCGUUGUUCGGAAUUACUGGGCGUAAAGGGCGCGUAGGCGGCCGUUUGCGUCGGAUGUGAAAGCCCGGGGCUCAACCUCGGAACGGCAUUCGAUACGGGACGGCUGGAGACCGGGAGAGGAGAGUGGAAUAGCCAGUGUAGAGGUGAAAUUCGUAGAUAUUGGCUGGAACACCGGUGGCGAAAGCGGCUCUCUGGCCCGGUUCUGACGCUGAGGCGCGAAAGCGUGGGGAGCAAACAGG
rnacentral:rRNA from 1 species